GACGAACGCUGGCGGCGUGCUUAACACAUGCAAGUCGAACGGAAAGGCCCUGCUUGCAGGGUACUCGAGUGGCGAACGGGUGAGUAACACGUGGGUGAUCUGCCCUGCACUUCGGGAUAAGCCUGGUAAACUGGGUCUAAUACCGGAUAGGAGCCAUUUUUAGUGUGUUGGUUGGAAAGUUUUUUCGGUGUAGGAUGUGGUCGCGGCCUAUCAGCUUGUUGGUGGGGUAAUGGCCUACCAAGGCGGCGACGGGUAGCCGGCCUGAGAGGGUGGACGGCCACAUUGGGACUGAGAUACGGCCCAGACUCCGACGGGAGGCAGCAGUGGGGAAUAUUGCACAAGGGGCGCAAGCCUGAUGCAGCGACGCCGCGUGGGGGAUGACGGCCUUCGGGUUGUAAACUCCUUUCGCUAGGGACGAAGCUUUUUGUGACGGUACCUAGAGAAGAAGCACCGGCUAACUACGUG
rnacentral:rRNA from 1 species